rnacentral:rRNA from 1 species
AUAAUAUAUUGACUGGCAUCAGUUGAUAUUGAAAGCUCCGGCGGAUAAAGAUGGGCACGCGCAAGAUUAGCUAGUUGGUGAGGUAACGGCUCACCAAGGCGAUGAUCUUUAGGGGCCUGAGAGGGUGAUCCCCCACACUGGUACUGAGACACGGACCAGACUCCUACGGGAGGCAGCAGUGAGGAAUAUUGGUCAAUGGGUGCAAGCCUGAACCAGCCAUCCCCGCGUGAAGGACGACUGCCCUAUGGGUUGUAAACUUCUUUUGUAUAGGGAUAAACCUACUCUCGUGAGGGUAGCUGAAGGUACUAUACGAAUAAGCACCGGCUAACUCCGUG